GCCUCUGUAGCAGAAUUGGUAUAUGCGGCGGGCUAAGAACCCGUGACGGACUAUAAUCCAUUGUUGUGAGUUCGAUCCUCACCAGAGGUA
rnacentral:tRNA from 1 species